ensembl:lncRNA DNAJC3-DT DNAJC3 divergent transcript
GAGUGGGACUAUUUGAUCCUUUCCAGGUUCGCCAGCGUGGUGUUACGAGAGGAAAGCGCAGCCGCAGCGUACGAAUGGGAAGGCCAAACACGGUCCCGGGGAGUCUGAGGGAAGCUGCAGGGCGCCUGGAAUUGGGGUCUCGAGUGAGCCGGUAAAAACCGCCUCCCGCUGAGCGUCCCGGAACAAAUACUGUCUGAACUGAGCCGUAAGCAAGAAACGGUCAGGAGAAGCUGGGGCGAUCUGAUGAUUAGAACAUUUCAGGGACUACCAGAGAGAAGUGCGUAAUUGCUCUAAGGCAGCUUUCUGCCAUGUGAGGACGCUACCAGAAGGCCCUCAUCAGAAACUCAAACCUGCAAGAGCCUUGAUCUUGGACUUCCCAGCCCCCAGAAGUAUGAGAAAAU